GCAGCUAUCUCCUUCAUAUUUAAUCGAAUGUGACUGAUGUGUUAACAGCGGUGUAUAAUAAGAACACAUACUCCCGACUGUCUCGAGGAGACACCGCUCAGGAUUAAUAGCGCGUGAAGGCGAAGUUCCUUUUAUGAGCGGAAUGCACUUCUUAAAAUCUGGUCAACCUUGCGUGCCAGUGCCAAACGCGCGCGUCGCCCGGGAUGUGAACGCAUUCCGAACGUCAUUCAAAUUUGAACACCGCGCAGCGCGGAGGGAGGCACGGCGCUGUGGUGCGAGCCUGUCUCCUUUCAUUUACAAAGUGGGAGAUUCGCUCGCAGCACGCACGCACUUCUCACUGCUGCGGAGCCAUUUCUGCCGAGAUGAGAUGGGAGUGCGAUGCAGGGGCGAGAGAGCAGGCACGGAUCCUAAUGGCUCCAUUUCCUGUGAAAAGGCAUCUCACCGCUCACAUACUGUCAGAUUUUAAUCAGCUCCCAGCAAGCGAUUUAAAUGGUAUUGUCAGAGAAGAGAGGCGCGUCCCACUUAUAAAUAGAAGCCGGCACUCAGGGAUGGAUGGCCAUCAUGGCGGUUUACAUGUUGGCUCAUUAUCAUCGCCUUGGCUGAUGGAACAUGCCGCCUAUGAUAAUUGGUUGGUGUGUUUAGCCGUACUGAGGAGCAGCUUAAACACCACAGAGGAAAACAUUCUCUCAUGAUGACGUGUGAGCAGAAGCUUCAUGGUGAGAUCAGCAAAUACAGAAAACAGCAAAUGGCAAAUACGUGUGUUACUUAAAUUUAAUUUAGAUUCCCAUGAGUCUUGAUUGUUAUUCGCUGGUUCACUAAAUGCCUCGUGGGAAUUUCUUUUUUGCUAAAUGGCAGCUUGGUCACAUUUUCCACAAUUAAAAAAAAUAUAUUUUACUGCAUGGAAUGCUAAAAAAAGAAUUACAAUAACUAAUAUCAUGCCUUUCUUGUAUGCUCCAGAUUCAUGCUAAUAUCGACACACGUAAUGACGACAGAUGAUGAACACAGAAUUUUGUCAUUUUAUUUCCGGGACUCAUUGCAGAUUUCAGGCACCUGAGCUCCGUUUGCAUUUUUUGUGGUAACUUUAUGUGAUUACUGUGAUAAAUACAAAGCUCUGGCUAUUUAGAAAUCAUACUGCUCUUAUAAAAGUUGUGCAAUUGCAAUCAUUGAAAAGGAAAACGCUCACCGAGGGUUUAACGGCGCUGAAAGAAAUGUUUAACUUUUCUUACAUCUAUCAUUACUUCCUCAUCUAUUGCACAUUCUGUUAUGCACGCAGAGAGAGGAGAUACUGGGGGAUCCAAUCAGCGGCCGGGUUUGUAGAGAAACCCGGUUUAGCAAUAACGACACACAGUGAAUCCCUGCAGAUAUGCCCGACACAGCAGCAGCACUUUAUCUUGGUUAUAUCUGACAGCGCUAUCAUGUAGGAAUAUUCUGCAAACAGAGAUAGGCCAUUGUAAAUCAAAUGAAGGGGAAUAAGCUGCUUGAUCCCCAUCUAAUGAGUCCCUUCCAACUCAGGAGCCAGACACUGACGCCUUUUGAAUUCAUAGUAUUUACUCCUCUCCCCUGCAAAAGAAGACCAGCCCUGCAUUAGUUUCAGCUUUUUUCAUGCGUCCGUGAUGUCGCCUGUAUUCAAGGACUGUGGUGACCUCAUGCGCCUCAGAUGCAAAACAAACGUGAAUGUAAACCUGAACAUCUUUUCUCUGUUAAAUAUCUUCCACAACUCUCUGUAACUUAACAGGAAGUCUUGGUCAAAGCCGUCUAAAGCCCCAAUAAAAAAAAGAAUUGAUUGAUAAUUGCAGGUUUUUCUGGCAAGCCAAAAGAAUGACUCAUGAAUAUACAUCUUUAGAGCUAUGAAUGAUUUGAAUGACGUCUUCUCUGUAUAAUUUAUCUUUAAUAAUUUCUUCAAAAUAUACUACAGUGGCCUUGCUUAUUAUAAUGUAGUCACAUGUUGUUGUGUUACGUUUUGGAACAGCAAUGGAGUUUUAUUGUCACAGAGGAGAAAUGUCUGACUUUUCAUACGCAGAAAAUACUUUUUGGAAGAAUCAAUUUGAAACUCUUUUUGUUUUUGUAGAAUCUAUUGACAAUAACAGCCUUUUGAAUACAACUGCACUUCGUUUGCCUUUACUGAAGCUCCAUAGAUGACGCUGUUUCUUUACCCUUUAAAAUUCAGGACACGUAUUAAAUCAUCGAUUAAACAAGACUGUCUCAGUGGUUAAAAGACUUACAACACUUACUUACUGCUGGCGUUCUUGGCUGCUUGGCUGUCAUGGUUCCCAUAUGGUGUGCUAUAUAUAGAGGCAGCGUUUUAUCCUUUGACUGAAUUAUUAUGGAGGCAUAAAACUGAAAAUUUACCACCGGCCACCAAGAAAUACUUUGGACAAACUAGAAAGCAUUUCAUCCCAGGUAUAAAAUCAACAAAUAUACUUACAUUUACGUAUAAUUGAUAUCUAGAAAUGAUCAGAACCCAUCUUCUGUAACUAGUCUUUAAUUUGACACAACAAGGAUCAUGGAAUUAUCACACUGUGCACAGAACAAUGUUGUCGCACGGCAGUGUGUCUAAUCUGAUUAUUCGUAUAAUGCACUUUAUGAGAGAGGCCUAUUUCGGGCUGCGAUGUUCAGGUGAUAUUGCUGGCUGCUGGUUCGCCGUCAGGUUCUGACACAAGAAAGAAACAACCCACAUAUUGAUACUUGCCUCCCACUGAUCAAAUCCACCAGCACCACAUAAAAAGGGAGGAUUUAUUACAAUGGCCCACGUCUUUUUUAUUAUUAUAUCAUAUUAAAAUAUAAGGCCAUGCAUAUAAAUGGAAUCAAUUCAAAUGAAUGCAAUUUGAAAUGUGAAUCCUUAACAGCCAAACAGCACGCGCUUAAUACAGCGCAUUGCAGUUCUUAAUGUCACUGUGCGGGAAAAGGUCAUUAUUUGAGAAGCCACCAUUAGUGGAGUCCGUUCAAGCUCGCGCUAUCGGCCCCCUGAUAAGCUGAUUAGCCGAGUGUUGGGGGCACGGGGGGGGGCGUAGAGAUUGGGCGCUUGCUUAGUUAAUGUGCCAGCGUCUCUCAGCAGUGUGAACCGCCGAGGCCGAUAAUGACACGCCGCCACAAACCGAAAGGUUCCAAAUCAAUUUACAGAAAUGAACAUUUAGGGGGGGUGAAAAGAGCCAAUUUCAAAGAAGACCGUGGCUGUUUGAGCAGAACAGCCCCUCGCUGAAACCUCUCCACUUAGCUGACCUUUCAGUCCGAGCAGCAUAAAGCACCUUUCGGGCACAAUGGCGAGCUGGUCUUUCUGAUGUUUAACAGGUUCUGCGUUCGAUCGACUCAACGGGCUCUACUGCUACACGCUCGACGUUGACCAGGACGUCUGAGGAAGGGAGGGGCUCGGCUCGGAUAUCCACCACGCAUCGCGGUUCGCCUCCGACUGGCGUUCACCUGCGUAAUGUUUCCCGAGCGGCCAAACAGACGGUCAAUUACGAGGCGCGGCCAAUCAAACAAGCCGCGCGUGCGGUUUCGACGCGCAGCGAUUCUUCCGUCACCGGUUGAGGAGAAUGUUGAUGUGUUUGUCACGGUGUGGGUUGUGUCCUGUUUUUAGUUUUUAGUUUCCUGCCUCUUGUGUCCCUGGUUUAGCUUCACUUCCUGCCCUGUCGCGUCAACCCCUGUGAUUGUCUGCCGUGUCCCUGAUUGUUUCCUGCUGUGUCCAAUCACCUGCACCUUCCAAGCGCAUUUAGGGACCAAGCCUGUCUCUUGUCACGUCAUUGAAUGGCGUCCCCGAAGGUCUUUCCCCAAAGGUCUUUCCCCAAAGGUCUUUCCCCAAAGAUCUUUCCCCAAAGAUCUUUCCCCAAGGUCUUUCCCGUGUUUAGUUCCUGGUCCCCGUCCUGUCUGCAUUUUCCCUAUAGACCUUUUGAGUUGUUGUUUGAGUUAUUGUUAUAAUAAAGUAGUUUUUUGUUAAACUCUGGAAUUGAGUCCUGCCUCCGCCCGCUUCCCCGUUUCGUGACAGUGUUUUCAUGGCUGACUUUACAGAUGCGCGCCACUGAGACAACGGUCCAAACGGUGGCAAUAUUACACAACUCAGGGGCAAUACACAAACGGCUAAUGUAACUCCUGGAUGCUGAGAUUGAGAGAGCUGAAAAGUGGAGCGAAAACAGACGCUUUAUUGGCUUUCACUGCAAACACACACACACACACAGCCAUCUGGAUGUUCCUCGAAAGGUGUGGAUGACUUGUCUCUUUGCAAAUUUCACCACGUGUACGUAAUCAGUCAUCAACAUGUCAUUCAUGCGUGUUGCCACUUCUGUGUGGCACUUUAAAAAGUACACUUCAAAGACAUUUCUGACACAUCCGCAACUAUUUACAGGCGAACGACUUUAAAAGCACGUUCAGCCAUCAAACAAAAAUGAUUAAUUCUGUUUGUCACGUGAGGCUGAGCAUUCACAGCAAUGUGUGCAUCGUGCCAACAACGGUGAAGGUGAUGGCCAGUCGUUAUAAAUACUUGCUCGAUGGCGUCUUUGUUCGUUGUGUGCGAUGGUUCUUUCGGGGAGACCGAUUGUGGAGGUAAAAAGGGCCUUGCACACUUUGAGACUCGUUCCGUCUCGGAGCUUCUGUCGGUGGGACAAUGAUGAAUUGCUUCUCUGAUGACUUGGAGGAGCGGCGAGCCGCUGACAUAACUUUGAGUCGCAGAGCGGAUCCACAGCCUUUGCACUUAUUUCUCUGCCAGGCGUUCCUUUGAGUGUCUCCUCGGGUCCGUUUUGCUCAGCAGGAGUGUUUCAGGUGUGGUCAGUUCCAUCCGGAAGAGUUGGAGCUGCUUCACCUCUUCACCGACGGUCUCAUGUGUAACUGAAUAAAAUAACUAGUUUAUAUUGUAAAUCACUUAUCAAUAGGGGAUGAGCCCUGAAUCAUGGGAAUAAUAAUAAUA
ensembl:lncRNA